UCGAGAAUCUUCGGCAAUGGGCGCAAGCCUGACCGAGCGACGCCGCGUGGAGGACGAAGGCCUUCGGGUUGUAAACUCCUGUCGAGGGGGAAGAAGCCGCAAGGUUGACUGAACCCUGGAGGAAGCACGGGCUAAGUUCGUGCCAGCAGCCGCGGUAAGACGAACCGUGCGAACGUUAUUCGGAAUCACUGGGCUUAAAGCGCGUGUAGGCGGAACGGCACGUCGGUCGCUGAAAGCCCCCGGCUCAACCGGGGAACGGGCGCCGAUACGACCGUUCUGGAGGGACGUAGGGGGACCUGGAACUUCCGGUGGAGCGGUGAAAUGCGUUGAGAUCGGAAGGAACGCCCGUGGCGAAAGCGAGGUCCUGGACGUUUUCUGACGCUGAGACGCGAAAGCCAGGGGAGCGAACGGG
rnacentral:rRNA from 1 species